GGAGUACCUCGCCCAGGACCGCACAGCUAGACAAUGGCAAGCUGGGUGCUGGCUCUGGGUUCACAGGCAAUUUGGAGGCAGCUGCCUCUCUAAGGACCCGGGGUGUCACCAUUGUGCAGAGCCUGUUGAACUCAACGCAGGAAAGUGUCCUGGGAGUGAGCGUCCACGUGGCUUAGCUCUUCUGGGAACAAAUGCUGUCAGUUCCCCGACCUGCUGCUGGCUUCCUAUACCUCCCUCCCUGUCCAUGAAGAAUGAUUGUCCUAUGGAAUGGUAGCUCAGAAGUGCUGGAGAUACUAUUCCCUGACUAAUCCUUACCAAGGAACAGAAAUCACUGCAGAAAUACUCUGGCUUCUUCUUCCCCUGGAGAAAUGUCUGAGGAGUGUUCCCCUACAGUCUCUCCAAUGGUUCCAAAAGGGAUUGAGCUUCAGUCAUGCAUGCAAGGACAUGAAUAUCAGCUGAAGAGAAAUAAGACUGGACCAUCUUGUCUCAUUUUUUAUUCAAAAGAAGGAAUACACACAUGCGAGGCCAGCACUAUAGCCCAACAGACUGCAGUAAGCCAGCCAGGCUGGGGGCCUGCCCAACAGGAGCAGCAUUCUGCCAAGGGGAGGGGGAGAGGCCUGGAGGACGGAGGAGGGCCUUCAAGAUUCUAAACUUCAAGUUCAGCCCCAGAGCCCUGCCAGGUGAAUGUGCUCACUGAGUAGCAGAAGACCAGGUUUUCUUCUUCAAACAAAGCUUUUCCUGGAAAUUUUAAUACUUCGACCUUCUUGUGAUGUCUCAUCACCUGGCCAGAGUUCAGCUUGCCUUUUUCCUAAGAAAACAUGGCUUUACACAUCUCACAACAGUCUCCAAACCGUCUUCCUGCUUCCUGUGUCUCAUCACUUUGAAAGAAGAUAUCCAGGAGUCUACCUUGAGAAUUCAAAGGGAUAUCCAUGACAAUGUGAGGAGUUCCAUUAGCGAUUCCUGUCCUGAUUUCAGAGCUCUUUGAUGCUUCCAAACCUGAGAGAGAGAAAAAAAAUGGAGAGAAACAUCAGGAAAUCUUUCCUCGGGGGCAUCCUCCACAGGCCUUCAGCUGAGGACACAUUUCUUUACCAGCUAACUGCCCGACCAUGCCCCUACUGCCCCUGGCUCCCUCCCUGCCAUCCGACACUGCUCCACCGUUCCACAGGAGGUUACAGGAAUGCUUGGCAAAGAAUCAUCUGAGCUUCAUCAGUGACAGCUGUGUCUUCUGUCUUUGCCUCAAUCUGGAGAAGAAUACUUCGGGCUGAACAACACAGUGGCCACCAGAGACCCAUUUUUAAAACCCCCUUCCAUUCCUUCUUCAUUCCUACCAGUCAUCAUUUGUGGAUUCGUCUGUCACUGUGGCUUGGAAACUUGGCUCUAGAGAAGAUAGUGGAGGCCCCCCCCCUAAGGAAUCUCCUGACUGUUGGAAGGUGCCAACUAUAACUAUAACUCAUUUUGAAGGAGCCAACAGCUCUGGUGCCAUGACAAACCUGCGUCCCCGAAGCCCCUCUGCAGUUAGAUUGGGUGCUCACCAUUCAGGACACUGUCUCACAAAUGGGGAGCUACCUUGACCCAUAUAGUAUUCUCCCAGUGAUGCUUUGGAAAGAACAGAGCACAAAGGCCAAAUUUCCUGAGAGAGGGUUGGCCUUGCAGGUGAGCACAUGUCCUGGUUGUCCUUUGCCCUUCCUGGCCCUGGCUUGGGUUUGAGAGCAGAGAUUACAGGAUUUUUGUUCUAGACUUAGUUGUUGCAAUGAUGAAGACAGCCCUCCUGCCAAGUCCAGCAAGGUACUUGUAUGCCAAGACCAGCCCAUCCAAGAGCUGGCUUAUGUGCCCAGUGUGCUUGUACGGCACACACCCACCCACAGUGGAGCAGAGUGAAUGGAUAGAAGAUCCACAGGCUAGAUGAGUCAUCACCUCUGUUGCUUACUUGGGGAGAGAAACCACAAACCACCGAGAGGCUUACAUUUCCUUGUUUCAAUCAGGCUGUUCACGUGGCACCUGAAAGGAAGAUUAACUAGAUGCUAAAAUGCACUUCUGGAGUCCAAUUCCAUUGACAGGGAAAGCUUCCAUGUACCCCAAGACUCCAUUGGGAGAAAACAGGCUACAAUUCCAAUUAAACACCAUAUUGAGUA
ensembl:lncRNA